rnacentral:rRNA from 1 species
UACGAAGGGGGCUAGCGUUGCUCGGAAUUACUGGGCGUAAAGGGCGCGUAGGCGGGUCGUUUAGUUAGAGGUGAAAGCCCAGGGCUCAACCCUGGAAUUGCCUUUAAUACUGGCGGCCUUGAGUAUGGCAGAGGUGUGUGGAACUCCGAGUGUAGAGGUGAAAUUCGUAGAUAUUCGGAAGAACACCGGUGGCGAAGGCGGUCUGCUGGGCAGUAGCUGACACUGAGGCGCGACAGCGUGGGGAGCAAACAGG